rnacentral:rRNA from 1 species
CACGAAGUUAGCCGGGGCUUCUUCUCACGCUACCGUCAUUAUCGUCGCGUGCGAAAGAGCUUUACAACCCUAAGGCCGUCAUCACUCACGCGGCAUGGCUGGAUCAGGCUUGCGCCCAUUGUCCAAUAUUCCCCACUGCUGCCUCCCGCAGGAGUUUGGGCCGUGUCUCAGUCCCAAUGUGGCUGGCCAUCCUCUCAGACCAGCUAUCGAUCGUCGCCUUGGUGAGCCGUUACCUCACCAACAAGCUAAUCGAACGCGGGCCAAUCCUUCGGCGAUGAAUCUUUCGCCCUCAAGCCGUAUCCAGUAUUAGCGCCAGUUUCCCGGCGUUGUUCCGAACCGAAGGGUAUGUUCCCACGUGUUACUCACCCGUCUGCCACUCCCCUUGCGGGGCGUUCGACUUGCAUGUGUUAAGCCUGCCGCCAGCGUUCGUUCUGAGCCAGGAUCAAACUCU